UCUCAUCUGCAUUCACACGUGGGCCUUCCUGCCAUCCUCCUUCCAGAGUUCAUCCUUAAACCUGCACCCUCCAGCCUGCAUCAGAAGACUCCAGGAGGACUAUAAUGAGAUAAUGAACAACUUUCAAGUAUAAAAAUAUAUAUAAAGAUCACAUGCUGUGGAGACACAGGAAGAGAAAUAUAGAUUUGUGGAGAAAAAGAAACACAGAAUUCUCAGUACCUACAAACAAAAAUAUUUGUACUGCUUGAACGUUAUUGAUGCAAGCGAGUGGUAGAGGAAGCUGCAAGUGAAAAGAUUGUGAGGCCAAGAGCAUGCAAAAUAUGUUCAAGGAACAGCAAGAAAUCUGGCAUGGCUGGAGCAGAGAGAAGCCCUGAUAGAGAGCAGCUGAGGAUGGAGGGAACCAGAGGUCAGACCACGAAGCUUUGCAGAUCAUGUUUAUAUGAACUUGAGGGUGACUUUAGCUUGGUUCAUCUGAGAAGGAUAUUUGAGCUGGAUACCAAAGCUGUGAUCUGAAGGACAAGAAGAACUUACCCAGACAUUGAGGAGAAGUCAUGGUGCUGUAUGUAAAGGCACUAAUGAGAGCUGAAGUCUGAAGGACACUUCAGACGAACUGCAUGCUUGAAUCUGCAGCACAGCAAGGAAUAGGCCUCCUUAAGGUACCUUUGUGGAAGAAGAGCUUCUUGCCUGGCCUGUCCAUCCCCUGAUCCAGCAUCGCAGCUGCUCCAGACACUUGGAUCACAAGAUGAGCUAUCAGAGGAUCAGAGAAACAAGAGCCUCACCCUUGGAUAAGGCCUUGUCCAGGCAGUGGCAGUGAUACUGGGAGGAAAAAUCUCACCCUGCUCCUCAGGGGUAAAGCUGACAGCUCUCCUGGAGGUAUACAGGAAGGCAUUCUGGCUUCCAUGCGGAGAUCCUCUGUACAAGCACAACUUGGUGGCAUCCUGACUGCUUCAGAGAAGCACCAUGAUCACCUUUGAGAUGGAGUCUUAGAAGGCUUUCUUCCAGCCAGUUGUUAAGCAGAGAUAAAAGAAAAUAAGGACGUACCGGAAGGGUCACAGCUUGGAAGGAGCUCUGUAUUCAGUGACAUCAUAUUGGCGGCUCAAAUUACCCAUGGCUGGCAAAUGCUACAAAUCAGUAUCUAAAGAGGAGGAAGGCCCACCAGAAGGAUGUUGGAAUGGAGACCUAGUACCCAACAGAGUUGGAAGAUUAUGUCUCUUUUUUUCACAAGAUUUCUAUAAGACUGCCUUCAUUCAUUUAAAGUUCCAGGGACUUCCCUGGGGGCACAAUGGUUAAGAAUCCGCCUGGCAAUUCAGGGGACACGGGUUUGAGCCCUGGUCCGGGAAGAUCCCACAUGCCGCAGAGCAACUAAGCCUGUGCGCCACAACUACUGAGCCCACAUGCCACAACUACUGAAGCCCACACGCCUUGAGCCAGUGCUGCGCAAUGGGACAAGCCACCAAAAUGAGAAGCCUGUGCACCACAACAAGGAGUAGCCCCGACUCGCUGCAACUAGAGAAAGCCUGCAUGCAGCAACGAAGACCCAACGCAAACAAACAAAAAAAUUCCAAGUUCAGAGAAAGAUAAAGGAGAUUUCCAGAGGUAAUAUAAAAAUCUCUUCUGGUUAAGAAUUUUCAGUGAACCUCUACACUGUACCACCAAAUUGCCAGCCUGGGGAUGAAAAUCAUGUCUUGAUAUAAGGCAGCUGCAACAUCCAUAGAAAACCUACUAGCUUCAUGACCAGAGGAAUCAGAGGACAGAACUUAUGGCAGCUAUAGCUGAAGGAAAGUGAGAGCGUCAUCCCAGAAAGGAGAGAGCCAGAAAAUGGAAACCCCAGUGGAGCCACUCAGCUGGCGGGAUCUUAGUUCCCUGACCAGGGAUUGAACCUGGACCCCAUGCAGUGGAAAUGCAGAGUCCUAACCACUGGACUGGCAGGGAAUUCCCAUCAUAGAUUUUAUUUUUGUUUUCUUAUUUGAAAGGAACACAUAUAAUCAGCUGAUGACACUGAAACAGAUGUGGAAGAACAACUUACUAGGAAAACUGUACCAACGGGAUCCUCUAAAGAGAACUGGAUCUCCUAAAU